GACUCUCGGCAACGGAUAUCUCGGCUCUUGUCACGAUGAAGAGCGUAGCGAAAUGCGAUACUUAGUGUGAAUUGCAGAAUCCCGUGAAUCAUCGAGUUU
rfam:Picea glauca, whole genome shotgun sequence.